GGCUAAGCAAACAAGGGCAGACGGUGGAUGCCUUGGUGUCAGGAGGCGAUGAAGGACGUGGUAAGCUGCGAAAAGCUUCGGGGAGCCGCUAAACAGGCUUUGAUCCGGAGAUCUCCGAAUGGGGAAACCCGUUACGGUUCAUGCCGUAACAUCCAUACAUGAAUCCAUAGUGUAUGGAGGCGAACCAGGCGAACUGAAACAUCUUAGUAGCCUGAGGAAAAGAAAAUAAGAAUGAUUCCCCAAGUAGCGGCGAGCGAACGGGGAUUAGCCCAAACCGUAUUCCUUUCGGGGGAUACGGGGUUGUAGGACCGUCAUUACGUGACUUUAUUUUGAUAGGGGAACAGGCUGGGAAGCCUGGCCAUAGAGAGUGAAAGCCCCGUACCCGAAAUUAAAAUGAGCACAGACGGCACCUGAGUAGCACGGGACACGUGGAACCCUGUGUGAAUCCGGGAGGACCAUCUUCCAAGGCUAAAUACUACCUGACAACCGAUAGUGAACCAGUACCGUGAGGGAAAGGUGAAAAGAACCCCGGUGAGGGGAGUGCAAUAGAACCUGAAACCGUUUGCCUACAAGCAGUGGGAGCCUGAUGCAUCUUCGGAUGCCGGGUGACCGCGUGCCUUUUGCAUAAUGAGUCAGCGAGUUACUUUAUGCAGCAAGGUUAAGCCGUAAGGUGUAGCCGUAGCGAAAGCGAGUCUGAACAGGGCGAAAUAGUUGCAUGGAGUAGACCCGAAACCAGGUGAUCUAUCCAUGUCCAGGGUGAAGCGUGAGUAAAAUCACGUGGAGGCCCGAACCGUUGUACGUUGAAAAGUGCUCGGAUGAGGUGUGGAUAGGGGUGAAAGGCCAAACAAACCUGGAAAUAGCUGGUUCUCCCCGAAAUAUAUUUAGGUAUAGCCUUGCGUGAAUGACUAGCGGGGGUAGAGCACUGGAUGGGCUAGGGGUCUCACCGGAUUACCAACCCCAACCAAACUUCGAAUACCGUAUAGUUUUAUCGCAGGAGUCAGACUGCGUGAGCUAAGUUUCGCGGUCGAAAGGGAAACAACCCAGAUCGCCAGCUAAGGUCCCCAAAUUCAUGCUGAGUGGUAAACGAUGUGGAAAUGCACAGACAACCAGGAUGUUGGCUUAGAAGCAGCCACCAUUUAAAGAAAGCGUAAUAGCUCACUGGUCGAGUGGUUCUGCGCGGAAAAUGUAACGGGGCUAAGCAUGAUACCGAAGCUGCGGGUUAUUUUACUUAAGUAGAAUAGCGGUAGGGGAGCAUUGCAUGCGGGUGGAAGGUCGACCGUAAGGACGGCUGGACUGCAUGGAAGAGCCCAUGCUGACAUAAGUAGCGAUAAAGCGGGUGAAAAACCCGCUCGCCGAAAGCCUAAGGAUUCCUGGGUCAAGCUAAUCUUCCCAGGGUAAGUCGACCCCUAAGCCGAGGCCGAAAGGCGUAGGUGAUGGGAAACAGGUUAAUAUUCCUGUACCACCGCAGUAACGUUUGAGUGAAGGGGGGACGCAGGAGGGUAGGUCAUCCGUCUGAUGGAAUAGGCGGUUCAAGCGUGUAGGCAGAGGAGAUAGGCAAAUCCGUCUUCUUAAUGCUGAGGCGUGAUGACGAGGACUUCGGUCCGCAAAGUGAUUGAUCCCAUGCUGCCAAGAAAAGCCUCUAGCGAGUUACUGAGGUGAUCGUACCGAAAACCGACACAGGUAGGCAGGGAGAGAAUCCCAAGGCGCUUGAGAGAACCCUGGUUAAGGAACUCGGCAAAAUGACACCGUAACUUCGGGAGAAGGUGUGCCACUGUUAGGUGAAGGGUCUUGCACCCGGAGCUGAGAGUGGUCGCAGAGAAACGGCGGUAGCGACUGUUUACUAAAAACAUAGGACUCUGCUAAGUCGCAAGACGAUGUAUAGGGUCUGACGCCUGCCCGGUGCCGGAAGGUUAAGGGGAUUUGUCAGCCGCAAGGUGAAGCAUUGAACCGAAGCCCCGGUAAACGGCGGCCGUAACUAUAACGGUCCUAAGGUAGCGAAAUUCCUUGUCGGGUAAGUUCCGACCUGCACGAAUGGCGUAACGAUUUCCGCACUGUCUCAACCAGGGACUCAGCGAAAUUGAAUUGGCGGUGAAGAUGCCGUCUCCCCGCGGAAAGACGGAAAGACCCCGGCACCUUUACUACAGCUUGACAUUGGGUUUUGGUGCAUCAUGUGUAGGAUAGGUGGGAGGCUGAGAAGAAGGGACGCCAGUCCUUUUGGAGCCAUCCUUGAAAUACCACCCUUGAUGUAUCAGGAUUCUAACUCUGACCCGUAAUCCGGGCAGAGGACCGUGUCUGGCGGGUAGUUUGACUGGGGCGGUCGCCUCCCAAAUUGUAACGGAGGCGCGCGAAGGUUCCCUCAGGCUGAUUGGAAACCAGCCGUUGAGUGUAAAGGCAUAAGGGAGCUUGACUGCGAGACCGACGGGUCGAGCAGGUAGGAAACUAGGUCUUAGUGAUCCGGCGGUUCUGAAUGGAAGGGCCGUCGCUCAUCGGAUAAAAGGUACGCCGGGGAUAACAGGCUGAUCGCAUCCAAGAGUUCAUAUCGACGAUGCGGUUUGGCACCUCGAUGUCGGCUCAUCACAUCCUGGGGCUGGAGCAGGUCCCAAGGGUUUGGCUGUUCGCCAAUUAAAGUGGUACGCGAGCUGGGUUUAAAACGUCGUGAGACAGUUUGGUCCCUAUCUUCCGUGGGCGCAGGAUAUUUGAGGAGAUCUGUUCUUAGUACGAGAGGACCGGAAUGGACGAACCACUGGUGUUCCUGUUGUCGCGCCAGCGGCAUUGCAGGGUAGCCAAGUUCGGCACGGAUAACCGCUGAAAGCAUCUAAGCGGGAAGCCAACUCCAAGAUGAGAUAUCCCAUUACAUAAGUAAUCUGAAGACCCCUCGAAGACUACGAGGUUGAUAGGCCGGGUGUGGAAGUGCAGUAAUGCAUGCAGCUUACCGGUACUAAUCGGUCGGGUGGCUUAGCCAC
rnacentral:rRNA from 1 species